rnacentral:lncRNA from 1 species
AGAGAUACCGAGAUAACCGCCUGCGAGGAGGCGCUUCGUGAACCCAGUGCAGUGCGUCGUGGGUCAGAUCCCUUAGACCCACGUAGGGACCGCGCUACAUCCUUACCGGGGGGAGUUACUUCUCUGGAAGACAUUUCAGUUGUUGGGAUUGAAAGUUAGGGCAAGAACUGCAGCAUGUCUUAUCUAUCCUCUCUCUUUAGUUUGGGUUCUGCAAAUUUCAUUAAUGUUUGAAAUAAACGCACGCUUUAACAGUACAUGUGUCAUCUCAGAUGACGCAUAAGAGCUUUUGUCUCCUUCCUGGUGUUUUAUGAUCUUAAAAGCAAAUAUCACGUGUGUGUGUGUGUGUGUGUGUGUGUGUGUGUGUGUGUGUGUGUGUUUCAACGUAGUGGAGCCAGGUGUUGGGUGCGGGAACAGACCAUUGCCAAGGGUCAAUUCAGUGUUUAUUUUAGUUAACAGUGUUGCAAUCCCCCAUCCUUUCUCUCUUUGAAAUCUUGGAACAUCUCGAACUCUAGUAAUUCCAGUAGCAUCAAUUUUUUGUUGUAUGGAAGUCUGUGUUUUGAUCCAUGGAAGUCACUGGGAGCUGCGAGGGGCCUGUUGGGCUCAGGAGGUCUGCCUUUUCUAGUGCUGUCCCUGGGCAGAAAAGGCCAUAGACACCACCAGAAAAGGAGCAGGGAAUGAGACUCCGCUUGUUUACUACUCUAAGCACAAGCAGACAUGUCUGAUAUAUACAUACUAGAUUGCUAACAUAAUUGCAUUUCCAUGCCAUAUGUAUUUACCAGCAUCCUGGGAUUGGUUCCCUCUAGAGAAACAGCUAUCGAGGAAAUUUUAGUUCUAGAGGAAUGUCAAUAAAGCAUUUCCAAGCCUGUUUAGCUGAUGCCUUCUCACUGGAUUACUGACUUUUCAUCAUCAAUUUCAAUGACCCCCUCUCUUUAAAAAUUAAGCUGUAGGCCUACAAUACUCUGUCUUAAUUCUUCCUGGUGGAUGCAGACUUCAGGGAUAUGGAGAUAUUCUGCCACUGCUAUGAGAAGGGCUGGGAGUGGCACGAGGAUGAAGAAGUGGGACUACCUUAGGAAUAGAGUGUUCCCUGGAUGCUGCAGCUGUAGAGAUCACUUGAUAAGGAUGUCAGGGCUGAAGUUUCAGCCAUACCACUAACUUGCUUCAUGACCCUUGGUAAUUUAU